rnacentral:misc_RNA from 1 species
AAGUCGUAACAAGGUUUCCGUAGGUGAACCUGCGGAAGGAUCAUUAACACGUAUCCAACGUUAAAACAACCCCGUGAACUUUCAGCUUGCUCCUGUAGCCCGUGAAAGCAGCAAUCCCUGGUAGUAGUGUCAUUGAUUGUGUAAGGAUGGCGCAGUCACGAUCGCUGUAGGCCCACACGGCCGGCGACCGGGUCACCGGGCUCUGCUCCUUUACGACAACUACAGUCUAACUUCGCCGCGCGUGAAAUUCGCACGGCACCAAAAACCGAACAACUGUUAACAAUGGAUAUCUUGGUUCUC